ACGUGGCAUGCUUAAGAAUUCAAGGUUUAAAAUCCCUGCAAUUCUAGAGCUUCUGGCUUAAUAUCAUUAAUCUUACGUGGCAAACUAAUUCCACGUAAUUUCUUUUAAGUUUAUUCAUAUUUUACAUUUAAUAUCGUUUAAUCUCAAAUACCAUGAUCAGUCGCCAUCUCCAUUCCAUCCCAAACCUCAAAAACCAUGACCAGUCGCCUCCACCACAAUCCCUUGAAACUCUCACCGCCACCACCGCCUUCGCCGCGCCGGCCACUAUCGAAAUAUGGCACCUCUUUCCCUCCACCGUGAUUUCCCCGCCAGCCAUCUGAUCUGCCACCUUCCCAAAAUUUGGGGAAAACCAGAACUCUGCAACUCUCACCGCCACUGCCGCCUUCGUCGCGCCGGCCACCGCCUUCGCCGUCGCCGCCAUCUUCCACCUCCAUUUCCCCAUUCCCCGCGAUUCCGCGAUCUGCCACCUCCUUUCGAAUCGACUCGCCAAUAAUCUGAAAAUCAUCAAAACCCGUUCGUACUGCCUCCCGCCUUGAUUCGCUUCGCCACGCCGGCCACCGCCGAGAUCGACACAGUCCGCCGCCUCGCCAUGGCCGUCCUUGAGCCCGGAAACCGUCCUUGAGCUCCAAAACUCGCCGUCGCUCAAACUUGCCUCCCCUUCCUGAAGACUCGCCACUGUCCAUGUGCCGUCGUCGGAGACUCCUCUGCCUCGACGAACAAGGCAGCCACCCCGGGCUCUCACAAGUGAAAGGAGAGUCUCACACAAACAGAUUGCAGUUCUGCAAUGGUUAACAUAGCAUGAGCUGGCCUGGGUCGUUUGGGAUGGUCCUGCAGCUUGGAAAAACGAUGCUAAUAGUUGUUUAUAUGUCACCAAACAAACUACCUGCAUAUUUCAUAUUAGCUUUUGCAAUUCAAAGUUGGCAUAAAUAGUUUUAAUGAGGGAAUGUAUUGAAUAAUGGAUUCAUGAUUCAUCUAAAAGAAAUGAAGCACCUGGGAAUGUAAAUUCAAAUUUAAUGAAAUAAGUAUUUCUGAUUUAGUUAA